AGCCUCCUCUCUGUUUCAGCCGUGGAGCAUCAGCAAUCCACAUCAUCUCCCUUGGCCGAGCGGUUCCCUUGCGGCGCCCAGGAUCCUUCCCAGACGCGCUCGGCUCCCUGGUCUGUCACCUUGCCGGCGUUCCCCUCCACCUAGCAUGCCCGUCAGGCCCUCUCUUCGCCACCCUGCCAUGGAGCUCGUCCCAUGCCCAACGCCGGCCAACCUCACUUCCCAUGGUCGUCCCUUCCUCCUUCCUCCCUAUGGUCGACGGCCUCACCUUCCAUGGCUUCCAAGAUCUGCUCAACAUCCAUUCUAGCGCGCACCCCUGCUUCCGUUUCCUGGUGGCCGACGCCCCCUCCCUGGAGCUCGCCCUUGCUCAUCCACUCGUCCUCGUCUUCAUUGCGGGCAUCAGCGCCCUUCGCCUCCUGCCGGUGAGCAGCUCGCCGCCGGUCGUUGCGACUCCAUCCCGCUUGGUCACGUUUGUCUCGCUGCUCCUUCCAAUCAGCACCUAGCGCUGCUCAUCCCGUCGUUGAUCUGCGCUCCAAGCUCUCCUUGAUGUUGUAUUCGGUGGGCAGGAGAGAAAUUGGAGGAAUCUGGCGAAGAAGAAAAGAACCCUGUCUGUCGCGCCCAAGCCGCGUCGAGCCCCUUCGUCUCGCCCUUUCCCUACACCUUCACUAUCCAUGGUCGCUACUCUCCUUUCCCUGAUUAAUACUAGGCGCAGCAGCAGCAACAUGCCAGAUCUCUGUAGCCCAGGAAAUUUAGAUGAGAAGAAAGCUUUAGCGAGGCGCUUGCCAAGUGCUUGGUGAAUCGCCUCAAUCGGAUGUGGUUGUCGAUCUCGCGGAGUCGAGUCGAGUUUAGUCGUGGUACGCUAAUUGAUCACGUGAUGUGGAGGACAAGAGCUGGAUUUGUCUCAUGGUGAUGCUGAUGAAUAAACCUGAAGAUUGAUGAUCUGAUCGAGUGCCAGAAUAGGAGAUGCUCGCCAAACAAGCAUCAUCUAACAACACUAACCUAGUGUCAUCCCAGGCAAGCCCCAGUGCAUUUGCCCCUUCCUUGUGUUUUAAAUGCUUUAUCACGUUAAAUGAUGCAUUAGGUGAUAGGAGUUGUGUGAUGAACAAUUGAUGCAUUACCAUUCCUUGGAAGUUGAAUACUAUACCUUGAUCCCUGAUUUAUAAAAAGAAUUGAUAAUGCUUAACCCUGCUUAGAAACUGAAAAAUCCUUUGUUUUCAAAAAGAAUGAUGUGGAACAUUGGUUAUGGGCUUUUUGAUUCGAAAAUCAAAACAAACUAAAGUGAUGGAUCCUCUACGGCCGGAGUGGACUCGUCACUCGAAAAGAGUAUCCCUGUCGGGUACCAAAAAUGGGGAAAUGGUUAAUAAAUCUAGACCAGCGCUGAGCAGACAAAGUCACCCGUCUGUGUCGAUUAAGGAUCGUACCGUUGACUGGCCUGUUGUGGUUGAGACUUUGCAACUAGCCACAUACCCUGGUAUGGGACAGGGAAAGCUUGAACCCGGCUAUUCCAUAUGUGAAGAGACAAUCGCGCACUGGGAGUGGAGAGAUGGCGGGACUAGCAUGUACCCUCCUGGCAUAGUAGGACGCCUAGUAGGGUAAUGUUCUCUCGGGUGGCGUGGACCUAUUCAUGUAGUGGAGGACUCCGUGGGAACGGUUGACAUAUGCAAGGGUUAAGUGCUACAUAUGUCGUGUGGUUAGAGAUCCCCAGCUGGGUAUAAUCGGUUCGAAUCGUCGUUGCUCCUCGGUUAUGGAGACUCAUCCCGGUGACCAUCAUCAUAGUUAGCAAGUGAAAUAUGAGAAUGAAUAAAAUGCAGCUAGUAUAGGCCAAGUGCUUGAACUAGACUAGGUAAAUAUAAAUUCAGGUAAUAACCUAACUAGUGAAAUAAAACUUGGCUUAAGGAUCAACUGGUAGCAAGCUUUUCUGCAAAAGGAGUCUUCGAUCAUUGAUAAACCUUACCUUGAUUCCCAAUCAACUAGCAUACCCUUGAGAGUCUUUUCUUUAGUCGGGUAAGUCUUGCUGAGUAAUUGCGUACUCAGGGCUUUAUUCCCUGUUGUUUUUCAGGUUAUAAGUUUGUUCUGUUGUAGAUGGUGCUAAGUGUCGAUGGGCUUGGCCUUCUUAUAUAAGUAUAUCCCAUCUUUAGCUUUUUAUUGAGGAUUGUCACUUAAGCUAACAUGUAAUUUAAAACUUAUAAAUGCUUUAUACAUUUUAAAGUGUAAUUCUUUUGAAUCACUUUCUUUUGUAAUCACUCCGAUAAUUGUAUAAUGUAAACUUAUUGUAACAUGUAAUCAUUUUGCAAUAAAGAAUUUAUUUCCGCUGCAAAUGUUGGUGUGUGAUUUGUGUUAACUUAAUCCUGCGAUCUUGGUGGUAAGUCGUUUAUCCGGGGUCAUCGGGGCACUCGGACGGAUCAUGUUAAGUUGUUUGGUGCACAUGCAUAGUCGUCUGAGGUCUUUGAGACAAUGACAGGUGCAUGUGGGCCCGAUAACUUGGGAGGUUCUGCGACAACUAAGCUGAUUGAUAAUGACUUAUUUAUAUGCCAAAUUUAUGUUGGUGACAUAAUAUUUGGUUCUACUAACCAAUUGUCUUGUGAGAAAUUUAGAAGGAUUAUGAUCAAGAAGUUUGAGAUGUUGAUGAUGAUCGGAGCAGCGCAAUUACUUUGGAUGAGACAAGUCUUCAAGAACUUUGACAACAAUCUGAGCAAAGUCCCCCUCCUAUGUGACAAUGAGAGUGCUCUCCAAAUAGGUGAUAACCCUAUUGAUCACGACCGCACUAAGCACAUAGACAUCUGGUAUCAAUUUUUGAGAGAUCACUCACAAAGGUGAGAUAUCGUUAUAGACCAUGUGAACACCCAUAAAUAGUUAGUCAAUGUCUUCACCUAGAUCUUAGAUGAGAGAAGAUUUUGUGAGCUUAGGAGUGAGAUAAAUAUUUUUUAUUCUCGAAACAUGGAGUGAAAUAUUGCACACAUUGCUUAUUUGUUAUACCUUUGAUCAACAAGUGCUCUUUUAAUUGGUACAAUUUCAAUUGUUCAUAUUUGCUUGUACCAAGGUUCAAAUCAUAGAAAAUCAUCUCUGGACCUUACAAGUCCAAGUGCAUAAGUUAAACAACUAUUCAACACUUGUAUACACACAUUCAGGGGGAGGGUGGUCUAUAGAUUGAACUUUUAGGACUAACAAUGUUUUCAAUUUUAUUAUGUGUGGUCUCAAAUUGAAAGGGAAAUUGAGAUUUUGAGCAAAGGAAAGCGCUUCCGCUGCAUUUUCGGUAUCAAAGACCUUUUGCCUCGUUCCAUGCCUCAUUGCUAUUAUUUAACCUCUAGUUGUCUUAUCUUAUGGGGAGUAAUGUCAAAGGUCACUUUAAUUAUUUCUGUUUUUGGCACUUGACGCCGAAGGGAGAGAAAUUAUAGCCCAAAGAAAAUAGACCAACCCACGACUUGAGUUUUUUAAAAAAAAAUCAGUUUUUUGUGAAUUUAUCAAUUGGUAUAUGAGAUUCUCUUAUGAAAUCUUUGCCAAAUAGAGAGAAGAGAAAUUUUGGCCAAAGCAAAUGUAUUUAAAAAGAAUGGGGGAGAUUUAGAUUUACAAAACAAAAGACUCUUUGUUAUAGGGGGAGAAAUUUUCAAAACCUUGAAAAAGAGUUUGAUUUGCAAAAACACAAGCAAGUGGUGUCUCAUAUGGUCCAAUAUGCUAAAACUGUUAAAAACCUACAUCCAACUUAGUUCUAAAAUUUAAUUUUCACCUUGCGAACGUAUGAUGAAUAGCAGACAAGUUAGCAAGUUUUAUUAUUCAUAUUUGCUUUGGUCAUGUUGGUCUCAACCACCAAAAAGGGCAAACUGAAAGUGAAUUGUGCUAUAUGCCAUUUCUAGUCUGAUUUUGGUGAUUAAUGACCAAUAGAACCCUAAGAUCUAACUAGUUUGCUAAGUAUGUGCUUGCAGGUUCAUAAGUGUCAAAUUCAGAGAUUCAACUCAACUAUAUAGCUCAAUCCAAGGCUAAGAAGGGCAUAUUAGGGAUAAGGUAUGUUAUAAGUGGUUUAUAUACUUGGAUAAGUUCUAAAUGCCCUUAGAAAUGUUUUUGAGCACAUUAGAGGAUUGAGAAGUCACAAUAUUGGAAAAGGUGUUUUUGGAGCAAAGGUUGAGCUAGAAUAGAAAACUAAGUUGGAGAAGUUAAAGAAUUGAAGUUUCAUGACUUAGACUAGUUUGAUAGUCACAAGAAAUGAUUGUCUAAGUCAUAGGAACACCCUCAAGGAAAGCCAAAUCAAUUUGAAGAAGAAUGUUCAUUUUGAGCUUUAACUCAGCUGGUCUGGGGUGCAUUAAGCCUUGUUUCUAGUGAAACCUGUAGAAGGUCUUUGGUAGCCUAGCGCACCGGACCUAUCCCGUUGUGCACCAGACCACUUACACACAGAGCUCUACAAAAGCACUCCUGUGGCCAGGUGCACUAGAUCAGUCUGAUGGCGCACCAAACCACUUUACUAGAGAGGUAAGCAGAGAAACCCAGAAGGAAUUCGGCAUACCAAACCAGUCCGGUGUGAACCAGACAUGUUAGGUCCAACAGAAACUUUAGCUUUCAACGGCCAACUCUAAUGACUGCUGACAUGGCGAGACACGUAGAGGGGUCUGGCACGGACUGGUCCGGUGCCACCGAGCAGGGCAAUGUUAGAGCAUAUCCUAUUGACUAAGGUGAUCAUUGGAGGUCCAGUGGUGCACUAGGCUGGUCUAGUGCACCCGAGGAAAGCAAAAAUUUAGCAAUCUACUUAACAACUCUUUGAGGGGUUGGGGCUAUAAAUACCCCUAGAUAGUCCAUUCGAGACAUCAGUCACCAUUAGAGUUAUGCAUCAUUCCCAAACACUUGUGCAACAUCUUAAAGCCAUCCGAGAGAUCCGAGCACUCCAUUUGAGUAGAGAUAGUCAUUCUAGAGGGAGUGUGCUCUUAUGAUCUGCAUUCUUGGUGUUGUGUUGUUGUGUUUCUUGCUCUUGUGUGAGUGAUACUAUAUUGUAAAGGCUAGUGAAUUAUCCCGAUCCUUUGGGACCAAAUGUGAUACAAUUACUAGUCCUAGGAGGCUAGUAAACAUAUUUAUUUCAUCAGAUGGAACAGAGUCUAAUACAAGAAUAUUACAACACAAAGUGUGAGUCUCUGAGGAGCGAGAACUGGCCCUAAGACACAAGUAUGUUGGGUGCAGACAUAGCCCCUUCUAGUCAAACAUUGUAGAAAUGAAAUCUUCAGCCACUAAAAGAAUCAUAAAGCCAUAGGUGAAUACUUUCAUAUACCACAAGACCACUCUAAGUCGUUUUAGCAUGAGACCUAUGUUAUACAUGCAAGUAUUUGGAGUAGAUGUUGAGUCACUCUUUCUCUUUUUUUAAGUAAAGUGGUUUAAAGCCUAAAAUCCCAUAGACAGAAAUAAACAUUUCUUUCUUUAAACACCAUUGGGCUCCUCUCCCCCAUGGCACACAAUGUCCUUAAAAGCAAACGCACACAUACAACCCUUUCCUUUUUCGAACCAAAAUUCUCUAAUUGUCAUAGCCAUACCCAACCCAUCCAUAACAGCGGGCAUGGCUAUUUUAAUAGAUUUUGACUCUGCAUAGAGGUACACUUUACCCACUAGUCUGGCUCUGCAGUCUCACUUCCAUGUGACCCGAUACCAAAACCCAUCCUCCCUUGCAUGGCUUUACCUUGGCGAUUAUACCGAGAGGAAAAGGCUACCAUCUCGCCCAAACCAGGACGGUAAUGCUCCCCUUCCUUCUCCUUUCGAUGCUCCCCGCCACCGAUAACCCUAGGGUUUAGCUCAUGCAAAUAUGGAUUGAGUGACUCCCAUAUAGCCUCUAGUGGUUGUACUUUUGAGAGUUUAGGUAGUGAAAUAUGACAAAUUGAUCCUUAUGCAAAUUGAGACAAGACUUCAUGCUCUUGCCGAACCUGGUUGAUCCAACUUCUUAUAGCCGCCCCAAGACCAGGCAGUCCCAAUCAUCCCGCUCUUGGUGGUGAGGGUUGCUGGGGGCCUUCGUCUUCCGAAGUUCCUCAAAAACAUGGCUCACUAUUUGUUUCCAGCAUGCUAUUAGGUAUUACAGCCUUACAGGAGCUUCGUUACCAGAAAAGCUUCAACAUAACUCAAGGGAAGUAUGACGAAGCAAGCUUCGUCAUGAUGAAGCAGGAAGGCGACGUAGGGAGAAGAUGUUGUUCAAGUUAUUGAAUAUAAAUGACAAUUUGUCCAUGUGACAUUUGUAAACCUUGUAUGUAAUUGUUAAGGGUAUGAAUGUAAUAAUGUACGAAGUUGUACGAUUGCCU
rnacentral:lncRNA from 1 species